GGGCGUUGGGCGCCCGCGGGAUCCCCUGCCCAGAGCAGCCGACCGCGGGCACGGCGCCGUCUCGUUUCGCCCCUCCCCGCGUACGCCGGGAGGGCUCCGUGGGUUGGUCUGUGCUCAGUUAGCCGGAAUGCGGCAAGCUCGUGACCCUAAAACAUGAACGGCGUCGGCUCUCCAUUCCCCCUUGCGGGCGGCGGAGAGGCGACCGGCUGCGGCGCCUCGAGCGUCCCGCGGCGGGCCUUGUGGCCGGCCGACGGGGCCCCGGUGCGUCCGCGUGCUGCUCGGAUGCGGUGGACCGGAAGGCGGCGUCGGGGCCUACCCUCGCACGGGUUGCCCCGGCGCCGGGACGGAAGCGGCCGGCGGAGGAGGCGGGGGACGUGGCGCGGCGCGGGCCUCGCGGCUCGCGCCGGCGCCAGCGCGAGCGGCCCUCAGCCGACUCUGCCGGCGCGCGAUCUCGGGACGACAGCCGGCGUCGGGCUGCCGCUCGCUGGCGCCGCGAGGCGCGGGCGGGGACGGGCGGGCCGGCGCGCGGGCGUAGGCGGAGGAACGCUAC
rnacentral:misc_RNA from 1 species